rnacentral:rRNA from 1 species
CCUACGGGUGACAGCAGUGAGGAAUAUUGGUCAAUGGACGGAAGUCUGAACCAGCCAUGCCGCGUGCAGGAAGACGGCUCUAUGAGUUGUAAACUGCUUUUGUACAAGGGUAAACCUGAAUACGAGUAUUCAGCUGAAAGUACUGUACUAAUAAGGAUCGGCUAACUCCGUGCCAGCAGCCGCGGUAAUACGGAGGAUCCAAGCGUUGUCCGGAUUUAUUGGGUUUAAAGGGUGCGUAGGCGGAUUGAUAAGUUAGAGGUGAAAUGUCCGAGCUUAACUCGGGAACGGCCUCUAAUACUGUGGGUCUAGAGAGUAGGUGAGGUAGGCGGAAUGUAUGGGGUAGCGGUGAAAUGCUUAGAGAUCAUACAGAACACCGAUUGCGAAGGCAGCUUACCAAUCUAUAUCUGACGUUGAGGCACGAAAGCGUGGGGAGCGAACAGGAUUAGAUACCCGGGUAGUC